AUUGAACGCUGGCGGCAUGCCUUACACAUGCAAGUCGAACGGCAGCAUGAUCUAGCUUGCUAGAUUGAUGGCGAGUGGCGAACGGGUGAGUAAUACAUCGGAACGUGCCCUGUAGUGGGGGAUAACUAGUCGAAAGAUUAGCUAAUACCGCAUACGACCUGAGGGUGAAAGUGGGGGACCGCAAGGCCUCAUGCUAUAGGAGCGGCCGAUGUCUGAUUAGCUAGUUGGUGGGGUAAAGGCCCACCAAGGCGACGAUCAGUAGCUGGUCUGAGAGGACGAUCAACCACACUGGGACCGAACGGCGACCCAAGACACGACGGGGUGAAGGAGUAGGAAAGUUGGAAAAAGGGGGGGAACGUUAAAACACGAAGGGCAGGUGUGUGAAGAAGGCAUUAGUGUAGUAAAGCAUGUUAGACAAAAAAAAAAGCUAAAAAACUAAAAGGGGUGGGAGAUGAAGGAACAGGAAAAAGAAGGACAGGCUAACUACGUGACAGGAGAGGGGUGAAUAGAGGAAGGAGAAAGGGGUGAAC
rnacentral:rRNA from 1 species